rnacentral:rRNA from 1 species
AGAGUUUGAUCCUGGCUCAGAUUGAACGCUGGCGGCAUGCCUAACACAUGCAAGUCGAACGGUAACAGGCCGCAAGGUGCUGACGAGUGGCGGACGGGUGAGUAAUACGUAGGAAUCUGCCCUGUAGUGGGGGAUAACCCGGGGAAACUCGGGCUAAUACCGCAUACGCUCUUUUAUCGUUGAGAUAGGAGAGGAAAGCGAGGGACCGAAAGGCCUCGCGCUAGAGGAUGAGCCUACGCCCGAUUAGCUAGUUGGUAGGGUAAAGGCCUACCAAGGCGACGAUCGGUAGCUGGUCUGAGAGGAUGGCCAGCCACACUGGGACUGAGACACGGCCCAGACUCCUACGGGAGGCAGCAGCAAGGAAUUUUCGUCAAUGGGCGCAAGCCUGAACGAGCAACGCCGCGUGGAGGAUGACGGCCUUCGGGUUGUAAACUCCUUUUUCGGGGGACGAUAAUGACGGUACCCCGGGAAUAAGGCUCGGCUAACUCUGUGCCAGCAGCCGCGGUAAUACAGAGGAGCCAAGCGUUGUCCGGAUUGACUGGGCGUAAAGCGCACGCAGGCGGACGCGCGCGUGGGGUGUGAAAUCUGGCCGCUUAACGGCCAGGCGCCAUCCCAUACGGCGCGACUGGAGUGAUGCAGAGGUCGAUGGAAUUGCCGGUGUAGUGGUGAAAUGCGUAGAGAUCGGCAGGAACACCCAGGGGGAAACCAGUCGACUGGGCAUCUACUGACGCUGAGGUGCGAGAGCGUGGGGAGCGAACCGGAUUAGAUACCCCGGUAGUCC